UGUCCGGUAGCUCAGUCGGUUAAGAGCGCCGCUCUGAUACAGCGGAGGCCGGCGGUUCAAUCCCGCCCCGGACGA
rnacentral:tRNA from 1 species